rfam:Pichia guilliermondii ATCC 6260 scaffold_5 genomic scaffold, whole genome shotgun sequence.
GCGGAUUUAGCUCAGUUGGGAGAGCGCCAGACUGAAGUCGACUUCAGUCAAGAAAUCUGGAGGUCCUGUGUUCGAUCCACAGAAUUCGCA